rnacentral:rRNA from 1 species
CGGAUCGUAAAGCUCUGUUGUUAGGGAAGAACAAGUGCGAGAGUAACUGCUCGCACCUUGACGGUACCUAACCAGAAAGCCACGGCUAACUACGUGCCAGCAGCCGCGGUAAUACGUAGGUGGCAAGCGUUGUCCGGAAUUAUUGGGCGUAAAGGGCUCGCAGGCGGUUUCUUAAGUCUGAUGUGAAAGCCCCCGGCUCAACCGGGGAGGGUCAUUGGAAACUGGGAAACUUGAGUGCAGAAGAGGAGAGUGGAAUUCCACGUGUAGCGGUGAAAUGCGUAGAGAUGUGGAGGAACACCAGUGGCGAAGGCGACUCUCUGGUCUGUAACUGACGCUGAGGAGCGAAAGCGUGGGGAGCGAACAGGAUUAGAUACCCUGGUAGUCCACGCCGUAAACGAUGAGUGCUAAGUGUUAGGGGGUUUCC